UCAGGAGCCAAGUCCCAUUGAGUUUUUCAAAGAGACCCAUACUAACAGCAUGAGCGAGCCGACACAUCUAGCUUAUAAUGCAAUGGAAAAGAAAAGGGAAACACAAUCAUAAGUGACAACCAGUGUUUGAUUCAAUGAUUGUGGCUGAAGUUCUAAAGGAAGAAAACGCCCAUAGCACCUUCCUUUCCAGCAUGAGUUAUGCAUCAAGAUCCGGGAGAUUUGGGAACUCUAAUUCAUCAGCAAGGAUCUGAGUUCUAGAAGAAAGAAUUGAGCAAAAGGAUAGAGAGGCGAGAGAUGCAAAUGACAGGCACUGAGAGGAGUUAGUGGUGAGACUUGAAGCACAAGCGAGAGCAUUUGAAGAGGUGU